rnacentral:rRNA from 1 species
GACGAACGCUGGCGGCGUGCCUAAUACAUGCAAGUCGAACGCAGUGGGGACGGGUGAGUAACACGUGGGUAACCUCCCAUCAGAGGGGAUAACACUUGGAAACAGGUGCUAAACCGAUACUGAUGGAUGGACCCGCGGUGCAUUAGCUAGUUGGUGAGGUAACGGCUCACCAAGGCCACGAUGCAUAGCCGACCGGGGAGGGGGAUCGGCCACACUGGGACUGAGAAACGGCCCAGACUCCUAGGGGAGGCAGAAGUAGGGAAUCUGCGGAAAUGGACGAAGGUCUGACCGAGCAACGCGGGGGGAGUGAAGAGGGUUUUGGGAUCUAAAAACUCUGUUGUAAGAGAAGCGGAAUCUAACCAGAAAGCAACGGCUAACUACGGGCAAGCAGCCGCGGAAUUC